GACAGAGGGGGCAAGCGUUGCUCGGAAUCACUGGGCGUAAAGCGUGCGCAGGCGGUUAUGCAAGACAGAUGUGAAAUCCCCGGGCUCAACCUGGGAACUGCAUUUGUGACUGCAUGGCUGGAGUGCGGCAGAGGGGGAUGGAAUUCCGCGUGUAGCAGUGAAAUGCGUAGAUAUCGGGAGGAAUACCGAUGGCGAAGGCAGGUCUCUGGGCUAUAACUGACGCUCAUGCACGAAAGCGUGGGGAGCAAACAGG
rnacentral:rRNA from 1 species